rnacentral:lncRNA from 1 species
AUCACUUAGGGGCCACAGUAUUUUGUAAACCCUGAUGGUUCCAAGAGAUGUUUGCUCUUGCUAAGAGUUGCUCCUUAACCUUUGCAAAGCUCAUAUGCAUGAAUUAAUAUGGGCAAAGUGCUCCACAGGGUAGGCCCACAGUAAAAACCAGCUCUGAAUAUGAUUCCCGCUAUAAUAAUUACCACUAGGACGACAACACAGUGUGGUAGAAGGUGGGCAGGUUCGGGAGCUAGACAGACCUGGG